rnacentral:rRNA from 1 species
CACUCCUACGGGAGGCAGCAGUGGGGAAUAUUGGACAAUGGGCGCAAGCCUGAUCCAGCCAUGCCGCGUGAGUGAUGAAGGCCCUAGGGUUGUAAAGCUCUUUCACCGGUGAAGAUAAUGACGGUAACCGGAGAAGAAGCCCCGGCUAACUUCGUGCCAGCAGCCGCGGUAAUACGAAGGGGGCUAGCGUUGUUCGGAUUUACUGGGCGUAAAGCGCACGUAGGCGGACUAUUAAGUCAGGGGUGAAAUCCCGGGGCUCAACCCCGGAACUGCCUUUGAUACUGGUAGUCUUGAGUUCGAGAGAGGUGAGUGGAAUUCCGAGUGUAGAGGUGAAAUUCGUAGAUAUUCGGAGGAACACCAGUGGCGAAGGCGGCUCACUGGCUCGAUACUGACGCUGAGGUGCGAAAGCGUGGGGAGCAAACAGGAUUAGAUACCCUAGUAGUCCCA